AAGAAACAAUCCUACCUUGUGGAAAUAAAGUUUAUAGAGCAAAACGAAAAUAAAGGAGGUCAGUACUAAAUAUUUCACCAUAUUUAAUAGUACCUCAGAGCCUGCGGCUGGCCUAGACAUUUCAGACUGAUGGCUUAAAACGCGUCCCUCCCAGCACUGUACGAGGCCCAAUUCAAUUCCAGCAGCUACAGAUAAGAGCUUUAGGGUGUUUAGCCAUUCCUCUCUCGUGUCCUUGAGGAAUAGCACAGAACUGCCUUUGUGUUAAGAAGAAGGACCUGUUGUCCAGAUUCAACAGGACUAAACUAUAAAUUCCGCUUCUGAAAUCGAUCUGAACAUGCUCUUGAUCCUACACGCAAAUACACUCGUCACAUCAUGCCCUUCUCUGUUUUAUGAAUGGUUCCUUCGCUGUAUCUCAAUUGUGUCAUAACUUUUCUAAUAUUGUUUCAGUUAUAAUGAGAAUGAAUGUUUUAUGAACAGGCUGAACUUUAUAAAAUGGGAAAAUUCUAACCAUAUGAUUUUUCCUUGAACUUGGAGGGUGGGGGUAGGGAUGAUGAGUAUUUUUUUUUUUAACCUCAAACUCAAUCCAGGCCAUGCUAGAGUUUAUUAGAGUUUGACUAACUCUUAUGGGUGAUCUGCAUUUGACACUGGCAAAUAAACUUACCUUGCUUUUUCCACGAUUU